CUGCCACAGAGCCACCGGAGCUCGCGGGGAGCUCCACAGGCCGGCGCCUGCCAUCGACACAGAGCCACAGGCAUGGAGGUAAACUUUUCUUCAUGUGGUCAAGCUGGUGUCUUGAGCAAAAGCAAGAGGAAAAUGUGUGUAGCGACCAAUGCCCAAGGAUAGCCUAGGGUUUGCUCAUGGCCUGCAGUGCUAGGGAGAGCUCUCCCAUCCCUUCAGUGCUUUUUCCUGGUUUUAUGACUGCAAUUCAGACAUCUCCUACAAACAGUAUCACUAAAAGGGCAUCUUCCCUGACUCCUUCAGCUUACCUGUAUUUUUGGUACCUUUGGGACAGCACCACUGAGUCAGCAUUUUGAUUAUGGUUGAUCUUCUGGCCGUAACCUCAAUGUGACCAUUGGCACUGCAGCUGUCAUUGUGUGCUAUUUCCACCCCCCUGUAUUUGUACUGCAGGAAAAAUGUGCAGAAAGGAGUGAUUUGGGAAAUCAUCUGGAUGGGAAAGGUAGCCCCGAACACAUUUAUUUCAGAAAUGUGAAAUGUGCUUUGCCCUAGAGCUCCAUGUCCCAACAGUCCUGCAAACUUGGGAGAACAAGAAUCCUCUCUUCUUUGCCAUUUCACCCAAUCUCCAGUUAAUUUGAUCUCUAUCUGAGACCACCAGGGAGAGAACAUCUAUUAAACAAUAAAAUAGACCGAUUGUGAUGUAUUUUCAA